UGCGUGUAAAAUCAAAAGACUUGGGAGGCAAACUUGGGUGGGAAGCACUAUGGAAGUCGAAACAAUUCCCAACUUAUCUGGAUCCCAGAGGAGUCCCUCUGAUUGCUUAAGUCACUAGAAAAGGAGAUUCGUCUCAGCGAUUAACAAUGAUACCCUUUUUAAGAGAGAUCAAAGAAGGCGCCUAGGGAAGCUCUACAACGCGGCUUCUUGGAGUUCUGAGGCCGCCUGCGCAUUCACUUUCCAGUGUAAGACCCCGCUCCGGAAUCCCGGCUCCAGCCCAGCCCGCGCCCCCUUCCCUGGAAAGACCUGGCCGGCCGCGCCCCCGAACCCCCGAGGCGUGGGUGUCAAGCUAAGCGGGGCUCGUCCGACCGGUCGCUUCCAGCUCUCUCCACCUGUUGGAAAGCCCAGGCCCAAGAACCGCGCCAGCGGCGGCAGCACGUCAUCGGCGGCCACGGGGAGUCAGGGAGCGCGGGACGCGGGUUUCUGUUGAUAAGUGCAAAGUACGGCCCUCUCGGUGCUAAGUGCACAGUAAGUGCGAAAAAUAAAUACAUCAUCUCCCGGGGCGGCUGUCUCGAAAACGCCUCUCAGCUGCCUGCGUUUCAGAGCCCGUCAAGGGUUAUAGCUUAGUGCGGGCGUCCGCGCCGCGCCGCGCCUGCGCCUCCGAGCGCCGGCCGAGAAGGGCGCGCAGCCACGGCCACCACAUGCCACUGGCCCCGCAAGGCGCCCGACUCCUCUAAGGGGAACUCGUAAUGCUCACCAAAAGCCUCAGAAACCCUGGAACCUAUAAGACCGCACCACCGCGCAAACGGUGUCCCGGGCUGCGCUCCCGCACUGCACCGGCAGCCUAUGACGCGAGGCCAACCCGGAGACUGCGCGCGACGGGCGUGCGUGCGUGCGCCCGCAGAUUCGCUUCAGGCGAACCAUAUAUUCAAGACCAAAGAUCAUAUCUCAUAAUGAGGAGCAGCAUGAUAAGAUGGAAGCAGCUGAAUGAAUAAAACUGAGAUGAAAUAAUUUGUCCAAAGUUGUACAUUUGAGCUCUCUGUGUGACCACCCAUCUUCCAAACUCACCCUACCGCAGUCAGCCAGCAGCUCUGGGUCGUUAGCCUGUCAGAACGCUGAGAGCAGAAUGAUGGACAGCAAGAGGCAGCAGGCAGGAUGGAGAACACUCCAGCAUACACGAUGUUGGGGUACAGCACACAGGGAUAAGAGACACAGCAGGGAAGUGGUGGAUGAUGCCUGUGGAAUCCAGGUCCAGAAGUCUGUCAUCUUCAACACACUGCUUCUGAUCAUUUUAAAUUUAGAGUGCAAAUUAUUAAUUGCAGAAUCAAGACCACUGGAAUCAAGACAAACUGACUUUGUGUCAAUAAUUUAAUGCCAUUGUAUUUUGGAAGGGUUCAGAAAAAGAGUACAUCUGCUUCACAACUACUUGAUCUCCAUUUUCUUUUUUAUGCAUAUCCUGACUGCUAUAUAACUUAAGCCUAGGUUUUUUCUCUCAUCCAUUUGGUGGAAUAUUUUUUCCUAAAUGAAGAGUAAUCUAUAUUUUCUAUUUUGAUUUAAAUCUAUAAUUGGAGUGCUUAUCAACAUUGGCUAAUGAAAUCAACCUAUCAACACUAUAAUAUUACAGCAUGAAGUUUCUGGCUAAAAUAUUUUCCUUAUGGUUCUGCUUUUCUAGGAUCCAUAUUAUAUUCUUCCCUUGGUCUUUCUUUGGGAGUCAUUUCUUAAAAACACCCCCUCCUUUUUUUUCUGAAGAGUCACAUGAGAGCAGUGGAAUCAAGAGUUAGGUCUUUCUUUUCUCACUGAAGAACAAUAAGCAUACAGAAACUGAAAUUAUACAACAAAAUUUUACCCAUUUCUGCUAAAUUAAAGAGAUUUUUAAAAACAAUUUUAAAUGUCAAUACACAGAAAAAGAAUAAUUCCCAUUAAUGGGGUUUCCUCUUUCUUAACAUGUAUAUUUAUGGAAUUAAUUCUUAUAUUUCCUGUUUAUUUACUGAUUCUUAUGAAUCCUAAAUAUUAAAGCAGGUUAUUGUUCUUUAUUUUGUUUAAUAGCACAUUAAGGGAAUUUGAAUUUCAGUUAAAUUAUUUAUUUCCAGAGAUUCAUAAUCUAACCCAAGAGCAAUACUUUAAGGUGGCAUCCUAUGAAAGAGUUUAUCAUUUGUUGACUUAUUGCUUCUUAUAAGAGGAUUUAUCAUUUGUUAUUUACUCCUUAGUAAAUAUUUCUAGAUCAUAUUGUGUGUAUGUAUAACUUCUCCACCUUUGCCUCUGUGAGGAAGCAAAACAUGUCCUUUUUUUCUUUCUAUGCUCAAUGUGUUAAGAUGUCUUCAUUUAAUUCAUGCUCAACAAAAUGCUCGCAAACUAAUGGAAAGCUGAAGAUCUGUAUUUUAUUCAUCACAUAAUUAUUUUUCUUCAAGAAAAUUAAUCCUAAUUCUUGAGUCACAAAAACCAUGUAUGUUGAAAAAAAUGUUGAUUAUUGCUUCAUGUAAGUGACAUUUUCUGAUUUUCCAACUGAUUUUUAAGAUGGACAAACCAAUGCAACAGAGCAUGGAAGAGUGAGAGAAGCUUCUGGAUGAGAAUCAAUAUAAAGGAGAUAGAUGGUAAACUUUGAGUGGAUUUCAGCCUAAAGAUGUCAGUCUUAUUUUGCUAACAUACUUCAAAGAAUAUGUACAAGAUUGAUUUUGAAAUACAAAGUUUUAAAGCUAGAUAUAAAACUUGUAUAAUUUGGUUUAGAAAAUAAAAUAGUUUCCUGUUGGUGGAUGGGCCCCCUGAGAGCCAAUUAGUGAAUUCUUCAUCUAAAUUACACCUUAGGUCUGGAAAGUAUUAACCUCCAAAGGGUGUACAAUUUAUCCCCAGGAUGGGUGUAAGUAGUCUGCUAUUGGAUGAGUGUCCUUAAAGAACCUGGAAUAACUGUUACCUUUCUAGGAGUCACUGGAAAGAACAGUAGUUACCUGUUACCAAUAUAGAAAGCUUUUAUGACUAGUACUCCAGAAAUUUCAGUUCCUUCCUCUUGAUUCCCUUCUGUGUCUCUGUGACUCUGUAGCUGUUCUACCAGAUACUAAGUACCAAGGUUUGAACUAGACUCAGUGUAGCCAAUUGAGAGGUAGAUCUCCUAGAGUAUGAUGGUUUGGACUUCGAAGUCUGACAGAUUUAGGUUUGAUUGCUGUCUCUGCUUUCUUAUGCCAAUGAGAGGCAGAUCUCCUAGAGUGUGAUGGUUUCAGCUUUGAAGGCUGGUGGAUUUGGGUUUGAUUGUGUCUCUGCUUUCUUAUCUAUGUGAAACUGGAAUAUUACUUAGAUUCCCUGAAGUUCAAUUUCCUUAAACAUAUAAUGGGGGUUAUAUAUCAGCCUCAGAGUUAUUGUAAGGUUUAAAUGAAAAUGUAUUUGACAAGCCCUUGGCAUAAGUUUACAUGCGUGAUAGGAUCACAGGAUAUUUGCUUUGAUUUAUUUGCUUGGUAACAUUGUUAGGUUUGUACUAAUCCAUAUGUCCUGAGUUCUGUCCUCUUACAGAAAUGAAAGAGAAUGUCCAAGGCCAGGGAGUAGAGGGAGAGGGGAAAGCAGACUUGAAUCCAUGCACAGUCUUGGUUUUAUUAGGACCACCUCACCCUAAAAAUAGAGCUCCCCAGUGAUUGGUAGAAAAGCUAUAAGAUUCAAUAUCUUGUGGUAGAGUUGGAAAUUGGAAGCCUAAUGAAGGAAUAUAUUAUACUUCAGAUGCCAGCAAUGAGAGAAACUCUAAUGAGCAAUGUCCUAAAGUGUAAGGAUGAUAGUUAAUAAUUAUUGAGUCUUUACAAUAGACAAAACACUAUGUUGGAUGUGGGGUCUUUUACCAGUGUUAAAAGAAAAACUUUAAACAAAUUGAAUUUAACAGGGUUUAAUUGAGCAAAGAACAAUUAGCAAAUUGUUACUCGCCUAUUUGUUGCAAGUGUAGGUUACAGUCUGUUUACACAUCCAGUUAGGUUACAGUUUAUACAUCCCGUUAGGUUAAGGUAGGGAGAAACCUUUAGGCUGAACUUAAAAUAUGUGAGGAGGCAGCUUUAGGCUGUAUUAAAUUUAGCAUCAGAAACCAUCGCAUUUGAACAUAAUAACAAUGGAGGAUCCAGACACUACUCUUAUGUCAUUGUAUAGAUGAGGAAAGUAAAGAUCAGUUGUUUGAGGAAUUUAUCCAAGGUCUUUCCAGGUGUAUAUGGCUCCCUUCUACUGUAUUGCUUCCAAACAGAAUUGUAAGAAAAUUACAAGAACUGAAAGGACAGACUAUAUCCUCAGGACCUAUUAAAAAUCAUAGCUGUCUUUUGGUUUGGUUUUGCUCUGUUUUGUUUUUAUGGAAAGGACUCUUUAUACCAGUAACUCACCUAUUUUAUAAUCUUGUCAAAUUAUCUCUGAAUAAAAUUUCUGAAAAUGC